AUGUAUGUGAUGUGUGUACUGUGUUUGUGGGUCCAUGCAAGGCUCAGAGACUGUAGGCAGUGCCUGUGGAGAGGGGGUAGGGGGGCUGUGAGCUCGUUGGUGGUGGAGAGGGAGAGGCGAGGCUGGUUCUGGCCACUGCAUAUGGGGGCUCUGAGGAGGACCCCCACUGUAAGCCAUCCUGUCCUGAGCUCUGAAAGCAGGGAGGGGGCCCCGUGGCGAUGGAAUGUAUUUGGGGCUCACAUCAGCCUGAGCCAGGCUGCGACCUUGUCCAGCUCAGCUGCAGUGCCCGAGAGGCCUUCAUUGGGAUGGUGGCCAAGCGACACCCACAGCUCUGCCAGGUCUCACCUGUCAGUGUGGGAACCUGAGCACCAGGCCUGGGGUGCAGCCAGGGACAGUCCUCACGUGAGGCCUCUCCCCAGCCCAGCCUCUUGUCCUUGCUCCUCUCUCCUCCUCCUACCACCUUUGGUUCUGGGCAGGGACCUCAGUGUUCUCAUCUGUGAAAGGCGAGUCCAGCCCACCUGCUGUGCACCGGCAGCCCACCUGCCUGAGGGCUGGGGAGGUCCUCCUCAGGCUCCCAGGGACAGGUGGUGCUGCUCGGGAGGGGCCACGAGCACUAAGCUGGACAGACCAGGCUGCCCACUCCACGCUGGGCCCACUUGCAUUAGAUCCUCUAGGCCCCAGUCCUUGGCCCCUUUGAUAAUGUCUCCCUUCCUUAAAAAGUUCUGCUCCCCGGCUCUCCAGGGCCUUCCCCUUCACCUGCCAUCCCCCUCUCCUCAGGGAAAUAUGGACAGCCCCCUGCCCACCCAGAUCUGGGUGAUGAGCCUGGAAGCCUCAGCACUGGUGGUGAGAGGCUCUGAGGGGCUGCGUUCUGUCUCUGCAUCCCAACCCCCCACCCCAUACCGCCCUGCUCCAUCAUGGCCCGAUUUCCCGAGCCUCUCUGACCUGACCAGGAGCUCCCUGAAAACAGCAAGUCAGAUUCACCUCUGGGCCCCUCACAGGCCUGAAGAGGCUGGCAAGCCGGUGGCCCUCCCUGCCUGA
rnacentral:lncRNA from 1 species